AGUACCUUGUUUGAAGGUUGAGAAGAGUUUGGAGUGGAAGCCCACAUGAUCUUUCACAACACAGACUGAAUUGGGUUUUAACAGGUUUUAUACGGACAAC